rnacentral:rRNA from 1 species
GAUGAACGCUGGCGGCGUGCCUAAUACAUGCAAGUCGAGCGAACAGACGAGGAGCUUGCUCCUCUGACGUUAGCGGCGGACGGGUGAGUAACACGUGGAUAACAUACCUAUAAGACUGGGAUAACUUCGGGAAACCGGAGCUAAUACCGGAUAAUAUAUUGAACCGCAUGGUUCAAUAGUGAAAGACGGUUUUGCUGUCACUUAUAGAUGGAUCCGCGCCGCAUUAGCUAGUUGGUAAGGUAACGGCUUACCAAGGCAACGAUGCGUAGCCGACCUGAGAGGGUGAUCGGCCACACUGGAACUGAGACACGGUCCAGACUCCUACGGGAGGCAGCAUUAGGGAAUCUUCCGCAAUGGGCGAAAGCCUGACGGAGCAACGCCGCGUGAGUGAUGAAGGUCUUCGGAUCGUAAAACUCUGUUAUUAGGGAAGAACAAAUGUGUAAGUAACUAUGCACGUCUUGACGGUACCUAAUCAGAAAGCCACGGCUAACUACGUG